rnacentral:piRNA from 1 species
UGCCUAUCCUUGAAGGGUCAAUCUGCUUUAA